GAGAGACGGACUAGAAGGCUGACGAGAGUGGCGGAGAGGGCAUUUUCCGUGAGCAGGACGAGUUCGUCAUCCGCGCAGAGGACAUCCUUUCCCUCAAGGUUUGCAUUCUGAAAGAGUGGCCCAGGCAGGGUGAUGUCUAACCCAGGGAUGGCAAAGGUGUCCACAUGCCAUCAUUUCUUCCACCAGCACCCAUAUCACAUGAUUGCUGCUCCUUUCCAUUAGCCCAUGUGUGGCCACAGAGCCCUCAGCACAGGGCUCCAGGCAGCUGCUACAGCUGCCCAUUGAUUGGGGUUGAUAGAUAGAUUUGCUACCCCUGAUUUAACUCAAGAAAUAAAAUGCUAAUGGUGAAAAGUCA
rnacentral:lncRNA from 10 species